rnacentral:rRNA from 1 species
UACGAAGGGGGCGAGCGUUGUUCGGAUUUACUGGGCGUAAAGGGCGCGCAGGCGGUUCUGUUUGUCGAGUGUGAAAGCCCCGGGCUCAACCUGGGAACUGCGCUCGAAACGGCGGAACUAGAGUUCGGGAGAGGAGAGUGGAAUUCCCAGUGUAGAGGUGAAAUUCGUAGAUAUUCGCAAGAACACCAGUGGCGAAGGCGGCUCACUGGCCCGGUACUGACGCUGAGGUGCGAAAGCGUGGGGAGCAAACAGG